GAACAAAUAUUCUGUUUAGAAACACGGCAGCACAGCAUCACCACCUGCUGGUUACAUGCCGGUAAUGCAGCCGGUAGACCCGCGAAACGUUUCCUUGAUUAAAGAGGAUGUGACUUUAAUAAUCAUUGCGGGGGCAUUUUAUAAUAUUAGUAGACUUUAACUACUUGUAACUAAAUGUCAUGUUACAUUAACUGUGCAUUUAAUAGUAUUUGUAUUUUGGAGUUGGCCAUUUUUUCCUGUUGAAUACAAACUUUUAGAAUACUUUUCAUUAAUUUAGAUGAGACAUAUCUAGCAGUAGAUACUGUGAUUAUGAUUAUAUAGUAUUUUUCAGGAUUUUGGACACUCAAGAUCACACAUAACAGGCCUUGGUCUCUUCAAUUAAUAAACACAUAAUUCUACACUGGCUACCACACUGAGUACUACACUGAGUACUGCUUAUGUAGAACUUACAUGAAUACGUGUGUGUGUGUGUGUGUGUGUGUGUGUGUGUGUGUGUGUGUGUGUGUGUGUGUGUGUGUGUGUGUGUGUGUGUGUGUGUGUGUGUGUGUGUGUGUGAGUGUGUGUUUAUGGGUUAAACUUUAUUCUGGGGUUAAAUUAUGGCUAUCUCCAUGUGAGAGGUCAGACAUUAGAUAUGAACGUACCUCCUGUCUGGUUAAAGCGCUUCUUCAGAGUCCCAAGGUUGCCUUUGUCGACCUGCUGGUUACCCUUUCUGUUUUCAGUGUCCCUCUCCAGGUAGUCUGGGUCUUUGUCUCUGUUGGCCUGGUCCACCCAGUCCUGUUUGCGUACGAUUCUCUGGGUGUUGCUGUCAUAGUACUCAACCUGAACCUCAUCCACCAUCACAACAUCCACAUACUCUGGGAAGGUUGAGAGUCCAGACGA